CUGAAACCAAACUUCUUGCUUAAGAGCAUUUGGUGGUGAUGGCUGCUUCAAGGAGCCUGUUCCAGACACUUGAGAGCAAGCAGGGCGCUGUCUGUCUUGGCAUGUGGACCACAUGACACAGUGGCCGGAAGGCAAGUUCCAGCGCCCCAAUAAUCAGCCACUGAGAUUCUUCUUGUUUCUGCUCAUUGGCACUUUUUCAUGCUGCUGCAAGUGAGGAAAAAGCUCAAACUAGUUGCAGCUGCACAUCUUCCUGCUAGAUUGCAGCAACUGUGUUUGGAGAUUAAAUAACUUGGGUCCCACAAAAAGCUCUUGUGUGGGUUAAACCAGAAUAAGUCAUCUCGGCCAGUGAGCUUAAAGUGAAGGUAGCAUUUGGUUAAGGGUGGGGGGAAAGGUUAUAGUAACUAACAGGUCCUUGUCCUCAUGUUCAGGAAGAAAGGUAUGAGGAUUGUGCUGAUCUAGACCACAUGUGCUGUUCAGUCCCGGAAAGGUACUUUGUCUUCAUAGACCAGCAGUGCUCAAGGUUUCCAUCCUGCAGGCCCGAUGAGUGGCAUGGGGCUCAUCUGCAGGCCGGAUUGGGCCCUACACUGCCUCAACCCAGCCCCAUGCAUUAGGUGCGGGUUCUGCGUUGGGGGUAGGCCCUGUGCCACCCUGUCUGCUCAAUCAAGUGUGCAGGGCCACAGCUGACUUGGGGGGAGGGGGGACCUGUAGAUCCAUGGGGAAGCCCCCCUCCCAGGCUGAAUAACCCAGGGGCUGGGGGUUUAGCACUUAUCAUGGACAAAGAAGGUUCUCACAAGAUUAAGUGAUAGAUAAAUUCCUGUUUUAUGGUAUAUAUGUUAAAGCUGGACUUGUGUACAAAGUUUGCUGCUUUCCAGGCUUUUUCACUGCCGGGUCAUCAGUCUUUAAAAAGUAACCAGAACAUAUUGUUUCUCAUCUCUGUCCACGGUAGUUGAACAUUUAGCUUUAGCAUUCUUGGCAAAAGGGCUUUACAUGUUCAGGACAAUGAACUUGGUUCCAGUUUCGGGACUCUUUGUCAUCCAUCCCCCCCGGUCUCUGUUCUCGGCUAAAAUCAGCCUCUUACAGAUGGUAAAGUGACUAAGACUAACCUUAGCUGCUGAGAGUGCUCUCCCUAAGGAAACUGAAUGUCAGUUCUUGCCUUUGGAAUCACUGGGGAGAGGUAUUUAGCUGUAAUAGUCUGAAGUCAGGCAGACAGCAGGGUAGAUGCGUCUAAAAGACUAACUAAAUGAUGAACCUUGUGUCCCCAGGGCUGAAACAAAGCUAUGGAUAUGGGCAGGGUGUUUUUUUGCCUUUUUUUUUUUUUUUCUUCUUUUUUAUAUAUGUGAAGCUCAAGGAAACCUAGGUGAAACUGAGUCGUUUGCUUCCUUAUUUAAUUAAUCUGCUGAGAGCUAAGGUAAUCUCUUAAGAGUUUGGCAUUUAGUAUAGCCUUGGCUCAAGGGGUUUGUACAGUCCCUUUCGGCUUCUGCUAUGAGGGAGAAAAGUUGCAUCUGGUAGAAACAGGAUUUCAGUGCUAAGCCACCAUGUCAGCUAAUGCUGCUUCCUGUGUCAUUAAUCUUGUGCUCAGGUAACCUAAUUCGGGGGUGGAGGGGGAUCAAGUCUAGGGACUUGAAACAGUCUCAAACCAUAGGGACAAAAAGAACAGGCAACAGCAGCUGGGGAAGAAAGUGUCAGAACUCUUCAAAGGCAGAUUUUAAACUAGGAUCAGGUGACUAGGACAGUAGGAGGAAGCCCUUAAGGCUAUAAUAAUAAGACUGAGUAAUAGCAGCAUCUGCAGUACUUACAAGGUCUGUUAUUAGUGAAAACACAAGCUGUUUCUGUAAUGCUUCAGCAGCCUAGAGGAUCUUGCUUCCCCCUUCCAUCUUAAGUUUCAGAAUGACAGGCUUGGUUGGCCUUUUACAAGCACAAUGGAGGAAAAGGUAUAAAAUAUCCUUUUCAAGCAGCACUUCAUAAAGUGACUUUGAGCUCCUAGUGGUCCCUCUUCAAAUCUGGCCUUGGGCUAGCUCCACAAAGAGCUUUGGUGUGGAGGGACAGACCAUGUGUGUGAUCUUACCAUUCAGCUGUACUGUUAUGUAGCACCAGGUUGUAUAAGCAUAUUCCAAGAGCAAGUCCUGAACAUGAGAGCAGAGGAGGAUUGCAUAGCUUGCGAGUCCCACCAGGGCUUGGGGCUUGGUACAACUUCCAUUCAUGUCCAGCGGAAGGAGGUUUACUGGUGAACUUGGGGAGCUUCAGGGCUCUAGAUCUAGAACACAAACCCAAGUCCCAGAAUCCUUCCUGUUUCUGGCCCAAUGCACCCUGCCACCCUAUUUGCCCUCUUACAUUUGCUCUGUUGGCUCUUGGGUUUUAUUUUCUGGGUGCAUUUCUGAGGCCUGCAGAGACGGCUUUGUUCAAAUUGCUGUGCAUCCUGCCCAGCUCUCUCUAUUAGGGUCCUUUUAUACCAAUUCUCUUGUGGCAGAGCAGAGGGAGUAGUGAGGCUGCUGUUAAUUGCAGGGUGUAACUAAAGAACAAGUAGGUUACUAUCAUGACUGACACACCAGCACAUCCUCCUGACUUUGUAAACAGGAAGCUGAUGCUUCCCGAGAAGGGAUGAACAGCAAAUGGUGUGAUGAAGGCAAAAAGCAACUUGCACAGGACACAAAUACUAACAUGAAGAUGACAACUGCUCUUCCAAACCCCAAGCUCCAUCCACACCCAAAACACUGGAGUUCAGCUGCUGCUCUCUGUUCAGAACAGCUGUUGCAGAACACUGUGCCCCCAAUAUGGGCUUGUUCAUCAUCAUACAGUAAACUAGUGGACACCCAACUGCAUGCUACAGUGAGUCUUACAUCAGGCACGUUACACCACACUCUACUCCCAGGGUUACCUGUACCAGAAUCCUGGACAAUCCUAACGCUGCCAGCGCACUGGGACAUAUUCCACCCACCAAAAGCUCAGCUUCCCUCAAGACGCCCAAUAUGGUCCACCCUUUCAAAACCCAACUUUUCCUUAGUUAGUGGCAGGAGGAAUGGUCAGCACAAGCACCGAUCAAUCACCACAUUAUCUCUGACCCUACAGACAAUCAACCAAGGUUUAACUGCCCAUUAUUGGGCAUUUCUCAACUGGUUUCAAACUUGACAUGGUCACUGUGCCUCAAACCUAUACCAAUGAGGCCUUCACAGUGUCAACAAAUGCUUGUGGACAAGUACAAACCAUGCCCUACAUGGUUGACUUGUGUCCAUUUACAGUGCUACCUGGUGGCCUUCAAGCUCUUCACACUGGUGAUGACACUGCCUUAAGAUGGCUGAAACAUGCCAAAUCCGCAUAUGCUAAAUAAGUAAGUUUAAGGAACCCAAAGCUGCAAGUGCCACAGCCUGUGGAAGUAAACCUUCUUUGAUUCCUACUAUAGUCAUACAUGGCCAACUACCCUUUGGCUACAGGUACACUGUGGAAUACUGGGAACCCUCUGAGACUGAAAAAAAGGGAACAAUUAGCACACCUGGUAAGCUGAACA